UACGUAGGCAGCGAGCGUUGUUCGGAGUUACUGGGCGUAAAGCGUGCGUAGGCGGUUGUCUAAGUUUGGUGUGAAAUCUCCUGGCUUAACUGGGAGGGUGCGCCGAAAACUGGGUGACUGGAGUGUCGGAGAGGUAAGCGGAAUUCCUGGUGUAGCGGUGAAAUGCGUAGAGAUCAGGAGGAACACCUGUGGUGUAGACAGCUUACCGGACGAUAACUGACGCUGAGGCACGAAAGCGUGGGUAGCAAACAGG
rnacentral:rRNA from 1 species